rnacentral:lncRNA from 1 species
AAUAUAGUAAUAACCAAUUAUUGGCUCUAGGGCAUAUUUCCAAUAGUCUCUCACUUGCACCAGAGUCAAUAAUCUAGUUCACAUCACUAUGUGAUUGUAAUGAAUCUAACACCCAUGGGGUUCGAUCACAUCUUGCUUGUAAGAGAGGUUUUUAGUCAACGGACCUGAAUCUUUCAGAUCCGUGUGUGCUUUACAAAUCUCUAUGUCAUCCUGUAGAUGCUGCCACCACGCGCCAUUUGGACCUAUUCCAAAUGGCCGCUCCACUAUAUGAAUCCGGUUUACUACUCAGAGUUAUCGAGAUUAGUGUCAAAGCUUGCAUCGACGUAACCCUUUACGACAAACUCUUUUAUCACCUCUAUAAUCGUGAAAAAAAUAAAUCCUUAGUCCACUAGUUACUAAGGAUAACUUUGACCUUUGUCAAACAAUCCAUUCGUGGAUCACUUUUGUACCCCUUGACGGAUUCAUGGCAAGGCACACAUCAAGUGCAGUACACAACAUAGCAUACUAUAGAGCCUACAACUAAGGCAUAGGGGACGACCUUCGUCCUUUCUUUUUCUUCUACCAUGGUCGGGCUUUGAGUCUUACUCAAUAUUCACACCUUACAACACAGCCAAGAACUCCUUCUUUGACAGAUCUAUUUUGAACUCCUUCAAAAUCUUGUCAUGAUAUGUAUUCAUUUGAAAGUUCUGUUAAGCAUUUUUAUCUAUAUCUAUAGAUCUUGAUGCUCAAUGUUCAAGUAGCUCAAUCCAGGUUUUCCUUUGAAAAACACGUUUCAAACAACCCUACAUGCUUUCCAGAAAUUCUAGAUCAUUUCCGAUCAAUAAUAUGUCAACCACAUAUACUCAUCAGAAAUUCUAUAGUGCUCCCACUGACUUCCUUGGAAAUACAAGUUUCUCAUAAACCUUGUAUAAACCCAACAGCUUUGAUCAUCUCAUCAAAGCAUAUAUUCGAACUCCAAGAUGCUUGCUCUAGUCCAUAGAAGGAUCGUUGGAGCUUGUAUACUUUUUAGGAUCCUUACAAUCGAAAAAACCUUCUGGUUGUAUCACUGUGGGGACCCCAACUUAAGAGUCGAGAUCACUGAAUGAACGUGCUC